UAUCAUGUAGGCUGUUUGCUGGGUCAGCGGAGAGACAGUGGUCGGCUCUGGGAGGUCACGCCUCCACUACUUGGCCUUCCUUCGGAGGCUCUUACUGGUUUCCACUGGAGAAUAAGCUGUGGAAGCACUCUAGUUAAUGCUGCAGAUGAAAUCUCCUGGAUUCUUGUACCCUCCAGAAAAGAGGGAUGGGUUAAGAUUCAUGCCAGCAAGCCAUUCCAGUUCUCCUUGCCUGGCAGCAGCAUCCAAGCUAGGAUUCCUGGAAGAGAAGUUUGCAGCCCCAGGAAACCAAGGCAUUGACCUGGGCUGUCAGUGGCAGCUUAGGCGAGCUACGGAGAAAUUACAGAUGGAAAGAGGAAAUGCUUGUCCUUCUUCCUUUGUCAAACCAUGUAAAACAAACUGGAACAAGAUGCU
rnacentral:lncRNA from 1 species